rnacentral:rRNA from 1 species
GAUGAACGCUAGCGGCAGGCCUAAUACAUGCAAGCCGAACGGGAUCUGAGGGUAGCUUGCUACCCGAUUUGAGAGUGGCGCACGGGUGCGUAACGCGUGAGCAACCUACCCAUAUCAGGGGGAUAGCCCGAAGAAAUUCGGAUUAACACCGCAUAAUAAUACGCUAACACAUGUGGAUGUAUUUAACUAUUUAUAGGAUAUGGAUGGGCUCGCGUGACAUUAGCUAGUUGGUAAGGUAACGGCUUACCGAGGCGACGAUGUCUAGGGGCUCUGAGAGGAGAAUCCCCCACACUGGUACUGAGACACGGACCAGACUCCUACGGGAGGCAGCAGUAAGGAAUAUUGGUCAAUGGGCGCAAGCCUGAACCAGCCAUGCCGCGUGCAGGAUGACUGCCCUAUGGGUUGUAGACUGCUUUUGUUAGGGAAUAAACCUUCUUACGUGUAAGGAGCUGAAUGUACCUAAAGAAUAAGGAUCGGCUAACUCCGUGCCAGCCGCCGCCGUAA